UGGGGAAUAUUGCACAAUGGGCGCAAGCCUGAUGCAGCGACGCCGCGUGAGGGAUGACGGCCUUCGGGUUGUAAACCUCUUUCAGCAGGGAAGAAGCGAAAGUGACGGUACCUGCAGAAGAAGCGCCGGCUAACUACGUGCCAGCAGCCGCGGUAAUACGUAGGGCGCGAGCGUUGUCCGGAAUUAUUGGGCGUAAAGAGCUUGUAGGCGGUUUGUUGCGUCUGCUGUGAAAGACCGGGGCUUAACCCCGGUAUUGCAGUGGGUACGGGCAGACUAGAGUGCAGUAGGGGAGACUGGAAUUCCUGGUGUAGCGGUGAAAUGCGCAGAUAUCAGGAGGAACACCGAUGGCGAAGGCAGGUCUCUGGGCUGUAACUGACGCUGAGAAGCGAAAGCAUGGGGAGCGAACAGG
rnacentral:rRNA from 1 species